CCCCACACACCUGACCAUCGCUAUCCUCCUCUAAUAAGUAAUGAUAAAUGAUGGUUAAUUUUUUUUUUACUUUUUGUGCGUUUCUUCCUUUAUUUAUUUCAAAUACAAGUAUAGUUAGGAUAAAUUUUGGAGCAAAUUUGGAUGCUCAGAAUGCAGGAAAUGACAUUUCCGGGAGUCAAAUUUCAAAAAUUUUCUGGGGAG
rnacentral:lncRNA from 1 species